CCUACGGGCGGCAGCAGUGAGGAAUAUUGGUCCAUGGGCGGAAGCCUGAACCAGCCAAGUAGCGUGCGGGAUGAAGGCCCUACGGGUCGUAAACCGCUUUUGCACGGGGAUAACACCCUCCACUUGUGGAGGUCUGCAGGUACCGUGCGAAUAAGGGCCGGCUAAUUCCGUGCCAGCAGCCGCGGUAAUACGGAAGGCCCGAGCGUUAUCCGGAUUCAUUGGGCUUAAAGGGAGCGUAGGCGGGCGUUCAAGUCAGCGGUAAAAUCGCGCGGCUCAACCGUGCCCCGCAGUUGAAACUGGACGCAUUGAGUUCACAACAGGCAGGCGGAAUUCGUGGUGUAGCGGUGAAAUGCAGAGAUAUCACGAGGAACCCCGAUUGCGAAGGCAGCCUGCCGGGGUGCGACUGACGCUGAGGCUCGAAGGUGCGGGUAUCAAACAGGAUUAGAUACCCCGGUAGUC
rnacentral:rRNA from 1 species